GAUGAACGCUGACAGAAUGCUUAACACAUGCAAGUCUACUUGAACUUCGGUUUGGGUGGCGGACGGGUGAGUAACGCGUAAAGAACUUGCCUCACAGAUAGGGACAACAUUUGGAAACGAAUGCUAAUACCUGAUAUUAUGAUUUUAGGGCAUCCUAGAAUUAUGAAAGCUAUAUGCACUGUGAGAGAGCUUUGCGUCCCAUUAGCUAGUUGGAGAGGUAACGGCUCACCAAGGCGAUGAUGGGUAGCCGGCCUGGGAGGGUGAUCGGCCACAAGGGGAUUGGGACACGGCCCCUAAUCCUAGGGGAGGGAGCAGUGGUGAAUAUGUGAAUAUGGUCCAAGAGUAUGAUCCAUGUCUGCUGGGAGCAAAAAAAAGAUUUGCGGAAUGUAAAGGGCUAUCACUUAAUACGAACAAAAUGCCGUUACCAACAAAAAAAGUGACGGCCAAAUCCGCU
rnacentral:rRNA from 1 species